rnacentral:lncRNA from 1 species
CGCAAUUAGAUGGUUUACCUACAACGGAGGCGUUGCUGAACCAUAGCCCUGGUCUUCUGGCUCCUUGUGGAAUGCACUCUCCUCCAGUCCACACAAGGCCACUGUAGAUGGGGCAACCCAAGUGACAAGCCCACCAGGUGGACCGGGACUGGAACGUGUCAGACAUGUGGAAGAGUCACGCGAUGGAAUAUUACACAGCAGCCUAAACAAAUCACUCACAGUGACCUGCAACAAUGUGGAUGAAUCUUGACAACAUGAAGUGAAAAAAACAUGGCCGCCGUCUGAUCGACCUUGAAGUCAUGCGUUUGUGAGAGUCCGUGAAGCCAGGCAGGCCCGAUGAGACGCGGGAGAGAGGGGAGAGGCCGAAUUGCGGGGGAUGGAACGUGGCUGCCAGCCGCCUCCGGUGGGACAGCAGCAACGUAGCCCAUCGAAAGGCCCUCAGGAGUUCAAUUAAGCAAGAAUCAGGUAUUUGCCUUUCCGUUGACUCCUUGUGAUUUCUUAGGGCUCCCCAAUUAGUGUCUUAUAAAAUCAGUUUUCCUUUCCACACGAAAUACCAAUAAGUGGU